rnacentral:rRNA from 1 species
GACGAACGCUGGCGGCGUGCCUAAUACAUGCAAGUAGAACGCUGAAGGAGGAGCUUGCUUCUCUGGAUGAGUUGCGAACGGGUGAGUAACGCGUAGGUAACCUGCCUGGUAGCGGGGGAUAACUAUUGGAAAGCGAUAGCUAAUACCGCAUAAAAUUGAUUAUUGCAUGAUAGUCAAUUAAAAGGUGCAAUUGCAUCACUACCAGAUGGACCGUGCGUUGUAUUAGCUAGUUGGUGGGUGUAACGGCUCACCAAGGCAACGAUACAUAGCCGACCUGAGAGGGUGAUCGGCCACACUGGGACUGAGACACGGCCCAGACUCCUACGGGAGGCAGCAG